CAGUAGCCGCGGUAAGACAGAGGAAGCAAGCGUUAUCCGGAAUGAUUGGGCGUAAAGCGUCUGUAGGUGGCUUUUCAAGUCCGCCGUCAAAUCCCCGGGCUCAACCCUGGACAGGCAGUGGAAACUACCAAGAUGGAGUACGGUAGGGGCAGAGGGAAUUUCCGGUGGAGCGAUGAAAUGCGUUGAGAUCGGAAAGAACACCAACGGUGAAAGCACUCUGCUGGGCCGACACUGACACUGAGAGACGAAAGUUAGGGGAGAAAAUGGGAUUAGAUACCCCCGUAGUCCCUGUCUCUUAUAA
rnacentral:rRNA from 1 species